rnacentral:rRNA from 1 species
GACGAACGCUGGCGGCGUGCUUAACACAUGCAAGUCGUACGGUAAGGCCCUUUCGGGGGUACACGAGUGGCGAACGGGUGAGUAACACGUGAGUAACCUGCCCACAACUUUGGGAUAACGCUAGGAAACUGGUGCUAAUACUGGAUAUGUGCUCCUGCUGCAUGGUGGGGGUUGGAAAGCUCCGGCGGUUGUGGAUGGACUGGCGGCCUAUCAGCUUGUUGGUGGGGUAGUGGCCUACCAAGGCGGCGACGGGUAGCCGGCCUGAGAGGGUGACCGGCCACAUUGGGACUGAGAUACGGCCCAGACUCCUACGGGAGGCAGCAGUGGGGAAUAUUGCACAAUGGGCGCAAGCCUGAUGCAGCAGCGCCGCGUGCGGGAUGACGGCCUUCGGGUUGUAAAACGCUUUCAGCAGGGACGAAGCUUUUUGUGACGGUACCUGCAGAAGAAGCACCGGCUAACUACGUG